rnacentral:rRNA from 1 species
UACGUAGGUGACCAGCGUUGUCCGGAUUUACUGGGCGUAAAGAGCGCGCAGGCGGUCGUUCAAGUCGAGUGUGAAAGCCCCCGGCUCAACUGGGGAGGGUCAUUCGAUACUGAUCGACUGGAAGGCAGGAGAGGGAAGCGGAAUUCCCGGUGUAGUGGUGAAAUGCGUAGAUAUCGGGAGGAACACCAGUGGCGAAGGCGGCUUCCUGGCCUGUUCUUGACGCUGAGGCGCGAAAGCUAGGGGAGCAACGGGG